rnacentral:rRNA from 1 species
GAUGAACGCUGGCGGCGUGCCUAAUACAUGCAAGUCGAGCGAACGGACGAGAAGCUUGCUUCUCUGAUGUUAGCGGCGGACGGGUGAGUAACACGUGGAUAACCUACCUAUAAGACUGGGAUAACUUCGGGAAACCGUAGCUAAUACCGGAUAAUAUUUUGAACCGCAUGGUUCAAAAGUGAAAGACGGUCUUGCUGCCACUUAUAGAUGGAUCCGCGCUGCAUUAGCUAGUUGGUAAGGUAACGGCUUACCAAGGCAACGAUGCAUAGCCGACCUGAGAGGGUGAUCGGCCACACUGGAACUGAGACACGGUCCAGACUCCUACGGGAGGCAGCAGUAGGGAAUCUUCCGCAAUGGGCGAAAGCCUGACGGAGCAACGCCGCGUGAGUGAUGAAGGUCUUCGGAUCGUAAAACUCUGUUAUUAGGGAAGAACAUAUGUGUAAGUAACUGUGCACAUCUUGACGGCACCUAAUCAGAAAGCCACGGCUAACUACGUG